GGGUUGUGAGGUUAAGCGACUAAGCGUACACGGUGGAUGCCCUGGCAGUCAGAGGCGAUGAAGGACGUGCUAAUCUGCGAUAAGCGUCGGUAAGGUGAUAUGAACCGUUAUAACCGGCGAUUUCCGAAUGGGGAAACCCAGUGUGUUUCGACACACUAUCAUUAACUGAAUCCAUAGGUUAAUGAGGCGAACCGGGGGAACUGAAACAUCUAAGUACCCCGAGGAAAAGAAAUCAACCGAGAUUCCCCCAGUAGCGGCGAGCGAACGGGGAGCAGCCCAGAGCCUGAAUCAGUGUGUGUGUUAGUGGAAGCGUCUGGAAAGGCGCGCGAUACAGGGUGACAGCCCCGUACACAAAAAUGCACAUGCUGUGAGCUCGAUGAGUAGGGCGGGACACGUGGUAUCCUGUCUGAAUAUGGGGGGACCAUCCUCCAAGGCUAAAUACUCCUGACUGACCGAUAGUGAACCAGUACCGUGAGGGAAAGGCGAAAAGAACCCCGGCGAGGGGAGUGAAAAAGAACCUGAAACCGUGUACGUACAAGCAGUGGGAGCACGCUUAGGCGUGUGACUGCGUACCUUUUGUAUAAUGGGUCAGCGACUUAUAUUCUGUAGCAAGGUUAACCGAAUAGGGGAGCCGAAGGGAAACCGAGUCUUAACUGGGCGUUAAGUUGCAGGGUAUAGACCCGAAACCCGGUGAUCUAGCCAUGGGCAGGUUGAAGGUUGGGUAACACUAACUGGAGGACCGAACCGACUAAUGUUGAAAAAUUAGCGGAUGACUUGUGGCUGGGGGUGAAAGGCCAAUCAAACCGGGAGAUAGCUGGUUCUCCCCGAAAGCUAUUUAGGUAGCGCCUCGUGAAUUCAUCUCCGGGGGUAGAGCACUGUUUCGGCAAGGGGGUCAUCCCGACUUACCAACCCGAUGCAAACUGCGAAUACCGGAGAAUGUUAUCACGGGAGACACACGGCGGGUGCUAACGUCCGUCGUGAAGAGGGAAACAACCCAGACCGCCAGCUAAGGUCCCAAAGUCAUGGUUAAGUGGGAAACGAUGUGGGAAGGCCCAGACAGCCAGGAUGUUGGCUUAGAAGCAGCCAUCAUUUAAAGAAAGCGUAAUAGCUCACUGGUCGAGUCGGCCUGCGCGGAAGAUGUAACGGGGCUAAACCAUGCACCGAAGCUGCGGCAGCGACGCUUAUGCGUUGUUGGGUAGGGGAGCGUUCUGUAAGCCUGCGAAGGUGUGCUGUGAGGCAUGCUGGAGGUAUCAGAAGUGCGAAUGCUGACAUAAGUAACGAUAAAGCGGGUGAAAAGCCCGCUCGCCGGAAGACCAAGGGUUCCUGUCCAACGUUAAUCGGGGCAGGGUGAGUCGACCCCUAAGGCGAGGCCGAAAGGCGUAGUCGAUGGGAAACAGGUUAAUAUUCCUGUACUUGGUGUUACUGCGAAGGGGGGACGGAGAAGGCUAUGUUGGCCGGGCGACGGUUGUCCCGGUUUAAGCGUGUAGGCUGGUUUUCCAGGCAAAUCCGGAAAACUAAGGCUGAGGCGUGAUGACGAGGCACUACGGUGCUGAAGCAACAAAUGCCCUGCUUCCAGGAAAAGCCUCUAAGCAUCAGGUAACAUCAAAUCGUACCCCAAACCGACACAGGUGGUCAGGUAGAGAAUACCAAGGCGCUUGAGAGAACUCGGGUGAAGGAACUAGGCAAAAUGGUGCCGUAACUUCGGGAGAAGGCACGCUGAUAUGUAGGUGAAGUCCCUCGCGGAUGGAGCUGAAAUCAGUCGAAGAUACCAGCUGGCUGCAACUGUUUAUUAAAAACACAGCACUGUGCAAACACGAAAGUGGACGUAUACGGUGUGACGCCUGCCCGGUGCCGGAAGGUUAAUUGAUGGGGUCAGCGCAAGCGAAGCUCUUGAUCGAAGCCCCGGUAAACGGCGGCCGUAACUAUAACGGUCCUAAGGUAGCGAAAUUCCUUGUCGGGUAAGUUCCGACCUGCACGAAUGGCGUAAUGAUGGCCAGGCUGUCUCCACCCGAGACUCAGUGAAAUUGAACUCGCUGUGAAGAUGCAGUGUACCCGCGGCAAGACGGAAAGACCCCGUGAACCUUUACUAUAGCUUGACACUGAACAUUGAGCCUUGAUGUGUAGGAUAGGUGGGAGGCUUGGAAGUGUGGACGCCAGUCUGCAUGGAGCCGACCUUGAAAUACCACCCUUUAAUGUUUGAUGUUCUAACGUUGACCCGUAAUCCGGGUUGCGGACAGUGUCUGGUGGGUAGUUUGACUGGGGCGGUCUCCUCCUAAAGAGUAACGGAGGAGCACGAAGGUUGGCUAAUCCUGGUCGGACAUCAGGAGGUUAGUGCAAUGGCAUAAGCCAGCUUGACUGCGAGCGUGACGGCGCGAGCAGGUGCGAAAGCAGGUCAUAGUGAUCCGGUGGUUCUGAAUGGAAGGGCCAUCGCUCAACGGAUAAAAGGUACUCCGGGGAUAACAGGCUGAUACCGCCCAAGAGUUCAUAUCGACGGCGGUGUUUGGCACCUCGAUGUCGGCUCAUCACAUCCUGGGGCUGAAGUAGGUCCCAAGGGUAUGGCUGUUCGCCAUUUAAAGUGGUACGCGAGCUGGGUUUAGAACGUCGUGAGACAGUUCGGUCCCUAUCUGCCGUGGGCGCUGGAGAACUGAGGGGGGCUGCUCCUAGUACGAGAGGACCGGAGUGGACGCAUCACUGGUGUUCGGGUUGUCAUGCCAAUGGCACUGCCCGGUAGCUAAAUGCGGAAGAGAUAAGUGCUGAAAGCAUCUAAGCACGAAACUUGCCCCGAGAUGAGUUCUCCCUGACUCCUUGAGAGUCCUGAAGGAACGUUGAAGACGACGACGUUGAUAGGCCGGGUGUGUAAGCGCAGCGAUGCGUUGAGCUAACCGGUACUAAUGAACCGUGAGGCUUAACCUUACAACGCCGAAGCUGUU
rnacentral:rRNA from 1 species